CGGGUUACAAAAGAAUUAUUCUAACCUCCGCUUUGGAAUGAGUUCUUUUUACCCUCCAUCAUUUUAGAUGAAGGGUGAAAGUCGGUAACGAAGGUCUUCGCUUAGACUGAACGUUGCGGAAAGGAUCAAUWG
rnacentral:rRNA from 1 species